UUUUGAAAAGCAUGAGGUUUAUCCGCCCUUUUAGGUCUGAGAAACAACAUGAAAAUUCAAGCAGGUAAAUACGUUUGCAUGUAUUCGAAUACAAGAAUAAUCAAGUAAAUGGUAUUUGAAAAAGAUAUUUAUUACUUUUAUGUCUACAAAUACGGAGAAAUUUGUUAUUAAAUGCACUUAAUGCAUACGUCACGUAAAAUAUAUAUCACAGGUGCAUUACGCUUGUUUUCAGCUUGUUUAAUAUUCCCUCCAAAAAUAUCAUUUAAUAGAUACAAUCACUUCUUUUCAUUCUACUAUUUUCAUCUUAAUUUCGGACAACUUUACGUAUUGUGUCGCAUAUAACUGAAAAACUUUUCUUAACAUAUGUCCAAAUAUGUAAGAAUAUUGUUCAGAUAUGAAAAAAUCGGGUAUUGGAUAUAUAAACUUUUGCACAUAUAUUAGUAAGUUUUUCACCCUUUUUAUUUGUACAAUUCUGAACAAUAUUGAACAGUACCACAUUUACAAUAUAAGGAUGUGGUAAUAUCUGUAUGUGCUUUGCAAUUGAAAUUCCAGAUGAAAGCUUUGGACGCAAUUAAUUUAUAAACUGUGGUUUUCAUAUUCCUUAUACGGAUGAUAGAAGGUCUUGUAAUUAAAUAUAUAAUACAUAUUGGUAUACUUAUACUAAGAAAAAAUGAUAUUUGAUUAAAAUUAUAAAAAGAGUGUGUCAAUUUGCUGUUAUUCGUUAAUAUUACUUUGCACAAAUUAUAAAUAGUGUAUUUUUAUGAAAUAUCCUUCACUAGAUUUUGUUCACUGACGUUUCAGAGAGCCAAACUAAACUAAAAAGGUCAAGUAAGGACUUAACAAAAUAUCAUUCAACAAUACACAAUUUUAAAUAGAUAUAAGAGUAUAAAUUUGUUAAUGCUAUUUUGAGAUUUAAAUGCACUUGUUCAUUCACACGAAUAUAUAAAUAUAUUUGCUAAAAAUUUUCAGCAUAAAAAUCUAUUUCUAACACUGUUUGGUGUAAUUUUCAGAGUUAUAUUGUGUGUAAAACUAUUAUUAGUACUCUACAAAAUGUCAUUUAUAAAUAAUAUCACUGUUUGGGUUUCAAUUCUGGAAAAAUUAAAACGCAAAAUUAUGAUCAAUUUAAAAAACAUUUUAGGUCCCAACCCAAUUAAUUAUUGAGACUUUAAUUAAAUAAUAUAAGUGAUGGUAGCAAGAAUGAUAUUAUCUCCCUUGAAAUGAACUUGCUAAUGAAUUAUCAUAAUUGUAUAUUGAUAAUGAACAUUUUAUCUUCAGAACCACUUUUAUUUGGUUUUGUAACAAAAACACAUACUGGUACCUGCAUGCGUCCAUGCUCAAUUCAACUCUACUUUAAUGUAUCAAAUUUUAACCAAAAAAAGUUUCGAACUUUAUAUGUCCCCCUUUAACCUUUGAUAUCCGUUCUCAUUAAAUUGUAAUAAGAUGACUAGAGGCCAGCUAAGCAAAUAUAUAUUUAUAUACAUAUCAAGAGGAAAAACCAAACACACAUAGUAUGGUAUGAGGAAACAGCAAAAGCUAUAGUAAGGAUUUCAAGAAUUUACUUCAACCCCCACCCAAUGAAUCAUUUAAAAGAAAACUCAGAAGAUAGAUGACAGAAGAUGAGACGAAACCGAUAUAAGAAAAAAAUUAGAUAACACCAAACCGAAGUAUGGUUUAAAUGGCACCAACAGUACCAAUUUUACUACAACUGUUCGAUAACUACCAUUGAAAUGGGCACAAGCAUUUUUGACAUUUUUCGUCCUUCUCCUCAUUAAAAGAAUAACUACUCGUUUGCCUAAAUGUCUAAAAAUGCAGCUUUGGGCAUGCUUUUGGGAUUUGUUAAUUGAUUAACGGUUUUACAACCAAAAUAUUGAAAUCUCUAAUGCAACAGAAUGGACUGUGAUCUAAUGAAUUUGGUAGACCUUUUAAAAUUAGACUUGGUGUGAGUUCAGUUGAAAUCGGCACUACUCAUUUAUUUUACAAUGACAGAACAGGCAGUAACGAAUUAUUUACGGACUAAAAGUAUUCCUCUAUUGAGUUGGGAUCAUUGACUUGCUGCAGUGCUCUCUUUCGACGUCUUUCACACGGAAAAUAUCUAAAUAGUAUGCAAAAAAAGAUGAAAAUCUUACUCGAAUAUCAGAUGAAAUAUGGAAUGCUGACCAGUUUAGUGUGUUUUUAAGAUGCAUUUGUCCAUAUGGCCGUAGCUUAGCGAGAAAGAAUGCAUGAGACACAAAAAUCUGACAUACUUUAUAACAGUUUGGCAUGGUUUUAUUAACUAAAAAUAAUGUUUUUUCAUGAUUGAAAGUCUUGUUAUAUUAAAGAAGUCUGAGCCGGAAAAUGAAAGAAAGUAGGGGAAAUAAAACACUUCCUAAUUGUACAAUGUGUCAAUUAUAUCAGUGAAGUGUUCCAGGAUACUAAUGUGCAAAAUGAGCAUGGGCUUCAAAUAGUAUUAAAAAACUCAAAGUUAACAAAACAAUUUAUCUUUCAGGCAUGCCUAUUUUAGUAACCAUCGUCAUGAUAAACAUAAACUGUUAUUUUGUUUUGAAGAAAAAUUUUCGUUUUCCAUACAGAAAAUCCUUAUAGCAGCAAAUAGGACUAUAUUUCCAUAAAAAUGAAGACCCUUAGAAUAGUUUAUGGAGUUGAAGGUUAUUGAUUCAUUGGUGUAUACCCGAUAAUUACAGAAAAGGGACAACAGAAUUGCCAAACUAAAUUCCAGGAUCCGCUGUAAGGAUGAUAUUCCGUUUAAUACAGAUACCACCUCAAUCUGAUAUAUUUCUGUCGACUUACAGUCAUGCUUCUUAUAAAAUUCAUGAGAUUUUCUAAGUUUUUUUUAUUUAUCUUCUUAAUCGAUUGAUGAAAUUCCUUACUGUUGUCAAUAUAUCCUAUUAAACUGACACAGUCAAUUCUAGCCCCUAGCACACCAGAUUCAGGUUAAAUCUAACCUGAUCAAAUGUUUAAGACAACACUGCCCGAGGAAAUGAAGACCAGAAUAACAAAAAUAAUAAUCUGGGAAUGCAUCAGCGAGAAUUUGACAUUCAUUUAGCUACUGUUCUAUAUCUAGCAAUAUGUACUCUUGAGGAAAGUGUUCUAAACGAAAUCGCGCUUGUUGUGCUUACUGAUAAACCUGGUAUCAUUGAUGGAGUUUUCCCCUUCAAAACGAUGAAAUACAGUAGUGUAGGGUUCUUUCUUUUUUGUUUUUAGAUAUCUUUUUUUAUCUUAACUGGAUAUUUUCAUUAUUUACAUGCUUGAUAACUAUUUAGUUGAGAUUCCAAUUACCGACAAUAAAACCAUGUAACUAAAUCUGCGAAACUUAGUAGUAAAUAGGGUGCUUAGGGUAUAAUAGAAAAGAAGGCAGGCAACGAAAUGCACUUGUCAUAUAAUAUAAGAUAGACAAAAAACAUCUUACUUGACUUUAACGGUAUUUGAUUCGCGAAUCAAAAUGAAAUUAUUAUGACCCAAAAUGAAGAAAAUGCUUAUACAUUAAAAAUAACGUCGUCUAUAUCACAUAGAUAAAACGUUAAGCCGAAAGUAGAUUGCUGAUGUUUGAAUCUCGUAACUCGAUUUUAAAACGACAAAUCAAGGUAACACACAUAAACUGGGGGAAAACUAGAACUCCAAAAAGGAGCAAAAAGUUGUGCGUCGAAAAGGUACGCACCUCUUACUAUACAUGCGCGAAGCCAAACUAGGUCAAUGAACUCCAAAAGGAGCUAGAACUGGUGCGUCGACAUGGUACGCAACUCCUACUAUGCAUGCACGAAUCCUAACUCAGUCAAAUUUCUUAAUCAAUUAAGAUUGCAAGGUACUCGAUAGUUAUCAAAGGUACCAGAAUUAUAAUUUAAUAUGCCAGACGCGCGUUUCGUCUUUAUAAGACUCAUAAGUGAAGAUCAGAUCUAAAUAGUUAUAAAGCGAAACAAGAACAAAGAAGAAGGGCAUUGGGGACCCAAAAUUCCAAAAAGUUGUACCAAAUACGGAUAAGGUAAUCUAUUCCUGGGAUAAGAAAAUUCCUUAGUUUUACGAAAAGUUAAAAGUUUUGUCAACAGGGAAUUUACUAUAAUGACAUAUCUUCAUAUUAAAAUGUGUUCUUUUAUAAGUGUUAUGCAUGUUCACUGAAGGAAUGUAUAGUUCAGAAAGUUUGCUAAAUAUAACGUUGUCCGAUGAAAACCCUGGUUUCAAGUAUAGAAAAAUUAAAAAAUGAAUAGCAAUUUAGUUAUGAAAAAGAUAUGGAAAAAGAUUGUAUGUUUGACAAUGUACUUAUUUCGAAAUUUGAAUAAAACUGUUUGCUGUCUAAAGAAAUAAUAUACCUGAAAAUGCCGUCAAAGUUUCUAUUAUGACAUAAAACGUUGAUUCCUCUUAAGAUUUGAAUGAAUUAACUGUGCUUUAAUAAUGUACCAUUAAACUAUAUUAAAACUAAUUCAAAUGAUGUAUGCACAGACCAUUUGUUUCAUUAAAAAGCAAUUCAUUGAUCUUUUGAUAAUGAUUUUUAAGUCGUGUAAUAUUUUUAUUUCUUUUUCACAGAUUUUAAUCACAAAAUUACCUAAUAUACCAAAAAAUAUAUAUCUUCUUAGCAUUACAAAUAAUCCUAAGAAUAUAUAUUUUUCUAAUUUUAAAAAUGUGAAAUAUUCGUAAACAUGUAUACAUAUUCAUUAAGGAUUAAUCAAAGAGUAUAGAACAUGAACUAGAACAAGAACAUAUUUUAUUACCAAUUAAGUAUUCAAAGGGGGGAUGAAAAGUUGUAUACCUUAUUUUAAACUGGGGAGAUAUAGUGCUUUGCCGUUUGUAUAGACAAUCGUUUUAGUUAAAGACUGUAUGCUAACAUUUUCUUCAUCAAGUCGUAUUACAGUUUCCCUGGUGUGUUAACGACAUCACACUGUAUACAUAUUGAAAACAAAUUAUUUGAAAUUGUUCUAUGUAUAUUUCAUAGAUACACUCCAUACUAUAUCAUUAGAUGAUCACAUUUUACUUAGUAGAUAUCAUAAAAAGGAACCUUCUAGGCAUAAGGUACCCUUAAUAUUUUAAUAUUCGAAGUUUACACUGAAUGUAGUAUCAAAAGUAUUAUAUUAGAAGAAAGCAAUAGGAGUCCCCUUCAAAUUAUAUUAGAAGACAAAAAAUAGGAACCCUCUUAGUAUCAAAUUAGAAGAGAAAGUUGUAGGCACCCUCUUAGUUUAGUAUUACACAAUCAAUUUUUGCCUUUUCCAUUUGAAGGUAGUCAAUCGACGUCAGAUGAAAAAUUAGUAAAACAGAUUAAAAGUAGAGGCACCAGUUAUUUACCAUUGUUCACAGAUGGUACAUAGAAUUAAAUUUAAAUAAAAAACAAAAAAAAAAAAAAAAAAAAAAAAAAAAAAAAAAAAACAAGAGAAUAGUCUGAUUUCUGUUGACAUGAAUAUCAAUAAUGUGGUCAUUUUUAUAAAUUUCCUGUUUACAAAACUUUGAAUUUUGUACUUGUUUGGCUUUAUAAAUAUUUUGAUAUGAGCGUCACUGAUGAGUCUUAUGUAGACGAAACGCGCGUCUGGCGUACUAAAUUAUAAUCCUGGUACCUUUGAUAACUAUUUACACCACUGGGUCGAUGCCACUGCUGGUGGACGUUUCGUCCCGAAGGGUAUCACCAGCCCAGUAGUCAACACUUCGCUGUUGACAUGAAUAUCAAUAAUGUGGUCAUUUUUAUAAAUUUCCUGUUUACAAAACUUUGAAUUUUUCGAAAAACUAAGGAUUUUCUUAUCCCAGGCAUAGAUUACCUUAGAUGUAUUUGGCACAACUUUUUUGGAAUUUUGGAUCCUCAAUGCUCUUCAACUUUGUACUUGUUUGGCUUUAUAAAUAUUUUGAUAUGAGCGUCACUGAUGAGUCUUAUGUAGACGAAACGCGCGUCUGGCGUACUAAAUUAUAAUCCUAGUACCUUUGAUAACUAUUCCAAACAGAAAAAUGUAAAAUCACACAAUUACUGAACUCCGAGGUAAAUUAAAAACGGAAAGUCCCUAAUCAAAAUCAAAAGCUCAAAAAAAAAAAAAGAAAGAGAUUGAUUCGGGUAUGUUAACUAAUGGCUCUUGCCAUUGUCACCCUACUAGGAAUGGUAAACAGUUAUUAUAAGGAAUAGGACGCAAUUGGUAAAUUCGCAGGUACUAAACAGCUAGAUGUCUUAAAAGAAUGCGAAAACUAACGGAUAUAAAUUGAAAAUAAAAUCAGAACAUUGGCAUAUAAGUUUUCGGUCAACAAAUAUUUUUUAAUCGAUUUCAUUUACGAAAAUUAGAAAAAACAUCAACAAAACAAACUGUGCUGUACUUGGUAUAUUUGAUUACUAUUUAAAACCGUUAGAGAUCCUUCACUAUUGGUAUUGGAACUUAUUUUAUAUUUAUUUCCACUUUUUUUUUGUGUAAUGAAUCCAGUGAAGCUGAAAAUAAAAGUUGUACUGGCGUCACCACUCUUUAAUUCUUUUAAAAUGAAAAUCCUAAAAAUUAUAAUUAAAUGAUAAAAAAAAAAAUAAAGGGACUUAAUUCAAAGAGUUAUCUUAUCUUAUAAAAAACUGUCUGAUGUAUGUCAAUCACCAAUUAUGAAUUUCUUUUUACGAAACAACCAUUCAAUUUGACUUGUUGAUUAAUACCCUUUAUAGAUAAACUAAUGAAAUAAGAACAAGAAUCAUAAUUUUGUUGUUAUACCAAAUCUAUUUUUUGUGAACUUUCUCAUGCUAUCAAGAUUUAAAUUUUCAGUGCUAGAUUAUGGAAAUAUGACAUUUUGUAUUGGUAAUUGAUAAUUUUUUAUAUCCACAAAAUGACCUUCAAACGCAGUUUAUUUAACAGAGAGCUGAAUGAGCGAUGGCUAAAUCCAUUAUUAACUUAGGAAGUUCAUGUGUAGAAAAAUUGAAUUAAAAAAUAUCAUAAACUUAAAAAAAUAAUCGGUUUUAUUGUAAUCAUUAUUAUCACGUCAUCAGGGCAUUCAGACUCGUAAAUUUGUUGUUGUUUAGUGCAAUGGGUUUGUUUAGUACAGUUAUAAUAUAUAAGGUGUAUGUUGGCUUUAAAUAAUGACCUUACUUAGUAGACAGUCUUGUAUAUAUUAAUACAGCUAUUCAUCUAAUCUUUGGAGAGAACUGGAACUUUUUAUUUUCCUCAACAUCUACAAUAAUACAUGGGGACUCAGUUGUUAUGAAUAAGACAAACUAUAUUUCAUGAUUCUUCCCUAAUAUUUGUUUUACUAUUGUUAAAAAGUUUUAAAAUUUAGUCUUAAAGAAAGGUAAAAUAUAAAUACAAGUACCUUUACAGCAAGCCUCUUGAUCAGUUGGUUAGUUUUAGUUGAAAACAUUAAAUGCAAGAGGGCCUAAACAGAAAUUUCAACACUGCCUAAAACGUUGAGAAAUCACUUCGGAUUUAUAUAUCUAUAAAGAUUAUUGUGUUAAAAUUUUCCCUCACAGGUUUUUAAUUCUCUGUUAUGAUAUGCAUUUACUAAUAUCAUCAAUAAAUCAAAAUAUGGAUGUCCAAAAGCAGGUGAAAAAGCAAACUAUUAAGUAUGCGUGGUGGGGAAAUAAAUCGCCUUCAAAAAUGCUUAGUAAAAUGUAAGAUGGAUGAACCUAAUAUAUUAUAACACCCAAAUCAAUCUGAGGUCAACUUAACCUGAGGGAGUUAGUUAACGAUUAUCAGCAAGGUAGAAGGUGUUUAACGGUCAAGCUGACAAAGAGAUGACUUUCAAAGCUGAUGCAGGGAUGACUUUCAAACCUGAUGAAUGAAUGACUUUUAGUGAAGGUUAUUUGUUGUUGCAGCUGCAUAAGCUUUUGGACUGCAGUAUUAUGACGAACUAAAAUCGACACUUCACGAAGUUGAUGGUCAUCAUCACGAAUUGGUUGACUAUACGGUGCAUAUGUGUCUCAAAUCACAACAGACAGAUUUUAGAUGACUUAGAUCUUUCGAUUAGUUGAAAAAUUGCUAAUUGAGUCCUACUUGUUAUUGUGACAUUUUGACUAAGUGUGGAUUUGCAUGGCAGGAAAUGACGGAAUACCUAGCCUGGCGAUGCACCCGCGGUCUCGUUUCCUUUGGAAUGCAUGCGAUUUGCAUAUUCUAGAUUCAAACAUCAGUAAAAUAUAAAUGCCACCUUUUUCUGGUGUCCAAGAAUUAGAUUAAAGUAUGGUAUCUUUUCAAAUUAGAAUUUCCUCAUUGUCAGAUUAUUUUGGUUUUAAGUCGGGUUACCCCUACUGUCUCCUAUUUCUAUCGUGCUAUUUUACUUAUUUGGACGUGUAGGUUUAUGUAAAAUUUCGAUGCAAACUAAGACUGUAUAUGCCAACAUGUGCAUACAAUAUGAUAUGUUAAGUAGUUAUCAAAGGUACCAGGAUUAUAAUUUAGUAUGCGAGGCGCGCGUUUCGUCUACAUAAGACUCAGCAGUGACGCUCAUAUCAAAAUAUUUUUAAAGCCAAACAAGUACAAAGUUGAAGAGCAUUGAGGUUCAAAAAUUCCCAAAAGUUGCUGUAGUUUGUAUUAUUUAAUACUGCAGGAAAAAUUUUAAAUAUGACAAUGGAGUUUUCAAUAUCAUGAUUAAAAAAUGUAGGACUACCACAGAAUUAAAAAGUUGAAAACGAGGAGGCACAAAAGCAUGAUUUCCACCACUAAAUGUAAAAAAAACCACCACAAUUAUAGAUUGGAAUUAUUUUAUAUUUGUACAACAUUACAUUGUACCCUAAACAUAUUUUUGACUUCUCUCUCUCAAAAAAAAAAAGAAAAAAAAAGACUGAAAAUUAUAAAGUUUACCCUGUAUAAGACUAAGAUGAGAAAAACAUAUUUUUUUUUAAUUUAUUAUAAUCGCAUCAUGGCAAAACUAAAGCAAAGAUAAAAAUAAAACUUAAAGCACUGAUCAAGACUGGUAGGUUUUCUGUCAUUCAACAGUAGGCGCUAGUAGUAUAUAAGAGUUUAAACUCUGUAAUCUAUACAUUUAAUUUAAAACUUAAGUGAAUCAACAAAUUAAAAGACGUAGAGAAAAAUAACUUCCGGUUCAUUUAGGUUGGGGUUACUUAAACAUGGCGUCUCCCGCUCCUGUUAUCCUUGUGUUUCGUGUUUUAUCAAUUUAAAGUAGUACACAAUUAAGCAGGUAAUAUCUUGUAUUGUUUAAAGGUCGGCUAGAUGUAAUUAAACUUCAUUUGAUUUCAACAGGUCUGAAAAAUCAUUAAAGUACAACAGCAACACCGUUUAUCUUAAUGUAUUGGUAUUUGCAAUCUGUGUGAGCUAUCUUAUAAUGUAUUAUUUCAAAACGCAAUAAAUAAGCCAAAAUUGAUGAAUUAACCCUAACAGAUUUGAAUAUCAAUUAUAUGAUAUACAGAUAUGUUCCAGAGUUUGCUAAAGACGAAAUUCAGAUCGAAAUAUGUGCCAUGAAAAAAUAUUUUCGUGUUUUAAUCCAUUGAGUUAAUCAAAUGGAAUGCAAUGAAGUUUAUGUAUUACCAUAAUGUAUUAUUAUACUUUUCACUGUAUCUAAUUAUACCUUCACAGAAAGGUAUCUACUAAAAGUUGAGAUAUUUGUCAUUUAAUUAAUCAUGUGACCUCGUAUCUACUAAUUAACGUUGCAUGCAUACAUUAGUAAUUUUUCUGUAGCAAUGGCCAGAUGGCUGACAAUUCCGACAUAGCUCACACAUUCUUGUACCGUAUCUAUAGCAAAGGAGAGGAUACAACUAUACUCUGAGCAAAGUUGUCUAUCUUUGAUACAAAAUAUUUAAAUGAGAGAUAUUUAAGAUAUACUUAAAUACCAAACAUAAAAAACUUAUUAUUUACCAUUUGACUAAAAUCAUAUGAUAUCAUAGUUCGAGCCAAAGCAGAGGGAAAAAGUACUUUGUAUUGUCCAAAUUGUUCUUUACUGACGAGCUUUUAAUGUUGAAGCUGUAAUGUUGUUAUAUAUAAUGAAUAUAUAUUUUGACAACAUAGUUGAUACUCUUACAGUUGUUGGCUUAUAUUUUUAAAGCUAUGUAUAAAACUUUUUUUUUAUAUUUUCCAGUAAAACAGGGAUAGUUGAAGCUGUAAUGUUGUUAUAUAUAAUGAAUAUAUAUUUUGACAACAUAGUUGAUACUCUUACAGUUGUUGACUUAUAUUUUUAAAGCUAUGUAUAAAACUUUUUUUUUAUAUUUUCCAGUAAAACAGGUAGUUAGAUCCCUCUAUAGUUCAGAUCCACCAUUUUCUACAUAAGAAAAUGCCUGUACCAAGUCAGGACUAUGACAGUUGUUAUCCAUUCGUUUGGUGUGUUUGAACUUUUGAUUUUGCCAUUUGAUUGGGGACUUUCCUUUUUGAAUUUUCCUUGGAGUUCAGUAUUUUUGUGAUUUUACUUUUUACCAAAGAUCUAUAAUUGAAGAAGAUGUUUUUAUGUCAAGUUUUUCACAGAGGUACCUCAAACUCGAUUUACCUUCUUAUUUCAACUGCAUGAUAAAUAGCCAGCAUAGUGCUGGCUACAUUAAAAAUUAAUCUGUUUUCCAAAAUAAAUAUUAUUUAGUAUGUCUACCGAAAAUGGCUGAAAACAAAAAUGGAAUUUUCCCGCUCUUUGCUCUUUUCGGCAUGAUGUGUUUACUUUAAGGUACCUCUGUGAAAAAAAACUUGACAUAAAAACAUCUUCUUCAAUAAUAGAUCUUUGGUAAAAAGUAAAAUUACAAAAAUACUGAACUCCAAGGAAAAUUCAAAAAGGAAAGUCCCCAUUCAAAUGGCAAAAUCAAAAGUUCAAACACAUCAAACGAAUGGAUAACAACUGUCAUAUUCCUGACUUGGUACAGGCAUUUUCUUAUGUAGAAAAUGGUGGAUUGAACCUGGUUUUAUAGCUAGCUAAACCUCUCACUUGUAUGACAGUCGCAUCAAAUUCUAUUAUAUUGUUACCGAUGCGUGAACAAAACAAACAGACACAAUAGGUAAAAAUGUCAAAAAUAGGGGUACAGCAGUAAACAUUAUGUUAUCAUCUUAAUCACUAUAAAAACAACAAAUGUAAACGAUGGAAGCCGUAUAGAAAUGACUUAAUAUGGGUUUGGCAGCUUUGAAAGCAAUGGUCGGUGUGAUUUUUGAAAAAAAAAGCUACAUAUGUUUAAGAAAACCGAAAGUUGGCAUAAAAAAUGCUUAAAGAAAACUGUACAACGAGAAGAGGAACUAAUACUAAAAUCCAUUAGUGCAAGGUGCAUUAAGAAAGGGUUGGUUAUUCAGUUUAGUCAAACUAUUCAAUAGGCAAUAGUCGAUACAAAUACUUAUUGGAGAUUUUAACCUUAAAUUUUGAAUUAAGUUUGUUAAAUCUUAAACGUUUAAUUUUUGGAGUUGAAAAAAGUGUGUUUUUUUUCAAUUCUGCUGAUAUUUAAACAAUAUCUUUACUAGCAAUUUCAUUUUGAUCGGGAACUGCUAACCAUCUUAUUGUACACCUUAUGACUGUGUUAGUGAUGAUAAGUCUUUAGUUUGAAGUUUAGUGUAUUGUGGCAUGUUAUUUGUCUUUUCUUUUUUCUGCCUUGGACCAUCGAAUUUGUCGUCUUUCUUCGAUGGAUGUGCCCUUUUAUAUCUUCCUAAUAUUUUUACAUUAUUCAUUACUUCAAUUGAGGCAUGAAAUGUAGAGAAAAAAAAUAAAUAUUUUUAUGAAUUUAACAUUUUAUCAGUAAUGUGGACUCGUGUAAUCAUUUUGUUUCAAGAUGUGACAAAUACAGGAGAUAGAACAGUGUCGAAAGUGCGUUCAGGUUUGAGCAAAUAUUUCUUUUGAUUCACUAUUAAAAUAGUUGAAUAAGAGAUGCAAUGUUCUACGUCUGAUGUUGCAUGGUAGAUACAUUGGGAAAUAAUUUACAAUAUAAAAAAAUCUACAAACUUCCAAAUCCCUUUUAGUAUAGACAUUAAAAGAAAGUCUUACCGAGAAAACAUAAAGAUAAUAAGAGUGUCUGUUAGACUGUUAUUAUGAAUGCAAAAGUGGUAGGAAUCUAACAUAAUCAUCCCGUUGAAGUCCCGUUGAAGAUGCCAGCACUUAUCAAUAAAUAUAUUGCAACUGUACAGCGUCGUAUACGUCAUCUAAAAAAAGCCUGACGUUACAGAAGGCACUAUGCCAUAAAUUCGAUUAGUCUCGCCAACAGUUUGAUCGAAAACUUGUUUUAAAAAUAUCACAAGUGUUAUCAAUCAAAUAUUGGAACAGCAAUACAGAAAAAUAGAAGUAAACGUCAAGAAGAGAAUGGAAGUGAAAAUGAAAAACAUUCGAAUAUUCGACAAAGGCAUAUAUUAGCAAGGAACACCGACAUUUUUUAAUCAGGUUUAAAGCAGACACAUCGGAUCGAAGCCUUUAAAAACAGAUGUAUAUAAUUAGACACGUUGUCAUAGACAUUUUGACACCAGAGAAAACAGUACAUAUAAACUUGCAAAUUCCCAAAAAAAAGAGAGUAUAUCAAAGUGCAAAAAAUACAGAAAUUGUUAAUUUCAUUCUGGAUUUAUCUUACGGAAUUUUCAGAAACAUACACCAAACACGUAUUAGUAGAUAGAGCUUUAAGACAAAAAUGUGUUCGAGUUCUUUGGGUCUUCAAAAAAGAGAUUUAUAUGGUGUUUUUUUCUUAUAAUUGGCACAGAAAAAAAGCAAAGAUUGCUUACAAUAAAGCAACCAAAAACUUUAAGUUAUUAGUUUUUAAAGAUGUAUAUAACUCAGACGGACUUUAGAUACUUUUUAUAAGUCGCACUCCGCCUUUUUUCACAGGCACUGUGUAGUUCGAAUAUAUAAACUCUGCAUUGCAAAAAAACAACAAUGUUGGAUUCUUUAUAUGAUGCCUUACAAAGAUAAAAAAUACAAAUAGAUAUUUUACUCAAACAGACAAAUUGUUGUGGCUUUAAGUCGAUCAGUUUUCAGUGUUUCAAAUUCUAAAUGCCGAGUGCAUGCUUUGUGGAGAAGCAGUAAACACAUAUUUUAACUUAAGCUUGACCCAACAUAUAUAGGAUCUACCCAUAUACUUUCUGUUUAAACUAUUGAAACACACUACUACGGGAUCAUUGCAGGGUGGUUGACAGACUUUGAGGUUAUGUACACACUUGCGGUUUCUGUAAAACGUGUACAGAUACAAAACUUUUAAAGAGUAUCUUAUAUGAGAUAACGAAAAGAGUCGUUAUAUUACGCGGUUUUUAGGUUAAGUGUAAGUACUUGGUAGAUUCUAACUGUUUGUAUGAAGAGUGAUUUACUUAACGAAGAUUAUACAAAGAAAACAAUAGGGGUUGAGAACAAUAUUUGUAAAGGAUUAGUCUGCGGGGAGACAAUGUAAAGAUACCUUGGCGUAUAAUCAGUAUAUUUAGUCUGCAGGGAGAAGGGACAGUGUAAAGAUACCUUGGCGUAUAAUCAGUAUCUUUAGUCUGCAGGGAGAAGGGAGAAGGGACAAUGUAAAGAUACCUUGGCGUAUAAUCAGUAUAUUUAGGUUCUCUAAGGGUAGUGAAAGGAAGUGAACAUAUCUUCUGUAAAAAUUUACAAAUUAACUUGCUGAUUUGAAUAGACCUAGACCAGUAUAAUGAAGACCAUCUUUCUCACAUGAUAGGUCGAAGUUGAAUCAAUGGAGUUUUCGGUUGAUAAAGCAACAACAGAACAAAAACCAAAAGUUUUAAAACGGUUAUAUAUGGGGUGGAAAGUUUGGUAUUCAUUUUGUACUCAUUUGUAUUUUUGGACAACAAUUUCUACAUUCUUUUAACAUUCUUUAUUCUUUACGCCCAAUUACUUAUUUCAAUAAUUUAGCACCCAAUUAUUCUUUAAUCUAUAUGCCGCCUUUGUUCUCAUUUUUUUUUUUUUUUUUUUUAAUUUUUCUAAAUUAAUAUCUACUAUAUAAACGCCAUUAUACACUCUUAUGUGUGGUGAACAAGAGCAGUGUGCAGAGUCAUGAACAAUGAUUAACAGGGAAAAAUUAUGAACGCUUUUUGUGUAGCUUUAUUUGAAAAAAAAUGUUCUUUUAUUUCUAUCAAUAAAAUAUAGAUUUUUUGCAAAAAUGUUUACUUUUGUCAAAGAUAACUGUCCAUGACCGAAACGGCAAGAAUAACAAUUCACUGUGAUAUAUUUUGUGUAGAAAUAUAUUACAUGUACAUCUAUAAUUUAUAUAUUUCAUGUUAUAAAAAUUCAUCAAUCUAAUGAAAAAGUUAAUUUUAAUGGACAUUAACCGUGUUAACAUCAUGAUGAAAAAAAUCACAAAUUGACAAAAUAAAAUCGGCAGUCGAGCUAUAUUUGUUUUGAUAUAUUGUCGCAUGAUAUUACUAUAGACGAUUUCAAGUUGUUAAAAAUAAUUUAAAGGGGAAAACGUUUGAUAUGCAUGCCAAAUAUACAUGCAAAGGAGGAUCGAGUACUCUCAAAGGAUGAUCUUAACCUUGCAGCAAGCUGCAUGGUAUUAAACCUGUCAACGGUCAGAAAUCUGCCUGUCAUAUAAAAAAUAGGGAUAUAGUAUGCUUAUGGUAUAAUGCUUGCCAUUGAGACAACUAUUGGUAACCGCAAGGAUUUCAACGAUGAGCAGACAAUAAACUCAUACCUUUCUGUCCUUUAAGAGUUUGUAUUCAUGCGGCAUAUUUUUGAUAUUCUAUUUUUAAUUUAUAAUUGAUGUAUGUAUAUAUAUAUGAUUUGACAGGGGCACUAAGAGCUUGACGUGUUAUUUAGACACUUGUCUUAUUGUUGAUAUCAUUAGAGAUCGUAUAGACAACUAUUUGUGUCGAUUGUUUUUGCUAUUGUGAACCAUUUACAGCUUUAUUUCUUCAUAUAUGCAUUGAAUACAAUUAAAUGCAAGUAAAAAAAACCAAUAAACUCUUGUGUGUAACGCUUUCAAACGACAUAAAUUAAUGAAAACAAGAAUAAGAUAAAGGUGUAUAGUAUAUAUACACAAAGAUUUAGACAAAUUAAUUAGAACCUAAAAUAGUCAAAGUAAAGUGUGUCAAAGGUGAACAGGAUAUCUUAUGUACGUCCUACAUAAAAUCUAAAUUCAUACAUGUUUUUAAUUUAUGGAUAACAAAGUUAGGAUUGUAAAAUCAACAAAUAGAUUAGUAGAAAAAAACUCUACAUAUGUUGCAAAACUAAUUCUGUGAUUCGAAAGUGCAACACCUCAAUCAUAAAUGUGUGCAUGGUGCAUUAUAUGAAUGCGCAUUCAUAUAAUGCACAAACAAGUCUUUUAGGUUUCCUUUAUUUAAGUUUUUAAAUAUUUUGGGGGUCAAAACGAAAGUUAAACAAAGUCGAAGGAUUAUAUAUAAAGCUUCGUAAAUAUGCUUUUACAUUUGUUAACUCUUAUAUCUACAGCAGCUAAGCAGAUACAAGGACACUGAUAAACAUACACGUUGCUGUAAUAUAUGAACAUAUGUAACUGUACCACAGUAGACAUAUGGUGCUACCAAAGGAACAUGAGGUUUAAAAUUAUUGACAUAUGAUGAUAGUUCAGGUCUACUAUGAUCGCAUUGAUUCUAUAUUCCAAAACUUUGUAUACAUAAAUCGAAAAUGCAGCGUUGUGAUCCCAAUUUUUACAAAAAAAAAAAAAUGAAUUUAAAUCAUUACUAAAUUGAUAAAUAAUCACAAUAAAUAGAUAAAAAUAAUAUUAAUUAUUUGGAAAUGAAAAUAAUAAUUAAAAUGGGAAUGAUAAUAACAACAAACCGUAAAAUAAUAAUGUACAACUUUUAUUAUGAUAUAUAUUUGUUAAAAAUAAGGACAGUUGAACAACAAGCGGUCCAGAGCAAGGACUUUGUCUUAUUAUUUUUUUUUACACGAAGUAUAAUUUAUUUUUUAAAGGCAUUUCCUGUUUCCUUUGCUUGCUUCAAAGUGUUCUUCAUCAUAUCAAAACAAUUAAACAUUGGAAGCAGUGUAUAUGUCAUGUCUUUCUACUAUAAAAUGACAGCACAUAUAACGUGAACUACUUUCAAUAAUUAUUAAAGAAAUUGAAAACUUAUUGAAAAUAUAUAAUAAAGGGGGAGAGGACAUGUCCAAAGCGCCUGUUAGUUAAACUUAAAUUUUUGUAUCGCAUAUUCAUCAGUGCAACUAAAUAGAAAACAAGUUUGAGUUUGCAGAUUGAUCAAGUCUGAUAUUUAUUAGGCAGACAUGUUUAUGGGAAAUAUUGGGUUUUCCAGACUAUGUCAAUGGCUGACAGAUAGAGAUCGCGCAUAAUGUGUCUGUCUUUUCCGUGGUGGUUUGCAUUAAUAUAGUUCGACAAUAUAUCAGAACAAUUAUUGCUCGACUGCAGAUUUAAUUUAGUUAUAAUCGGAAAAAGGCUUUGAGUAUUCUUCGCCAUGAUUUUAAUAUAUUUUGUUCGGCAAUCUUUAUAGAGAUGCAUGAAUGUAAAAAGAUCUUAAAAAAGUGCUAUGUUGUAUUAGUCUUGUUCAUGAAAGUCGUUAUAAGAAGUCCGCCAAAAAUCAUGUCUUCCGCCUUGCAACAAUAAAUAAUAUAUUUCCGAUUUAUUUAAAUGUAGUGACGUAAAAAUAAUAAUUGACUGUUUUAAAAAUUUUGUAUUAUAUAUUGAUCUAUAUUCAUCUCAUAUUUGAUAAUUGCAAAAUUAACUUAUUCGAGUUAGUGGAUUUUUUGCGUUCUUAGCGUAAUAUUUUGUUAGGGUUCAUAAAGAUGUCUUCCUAAGCAAUAAGCAAUGUAUUGAUUUUUAAACCAAUGAAAAUAAUGGUAAAUUUCCCCCUGGCUGAUUUCAUUGGAAGUUAACCAAUGAAUUAGACGUUUAUAUUGAUAACGCCCGCCUACAAGUGUAUUCCAAACGAUACAGUUAGGAGAAUUUGAAACCUGUCUGGAAUUCAAAGUUAAGGUCAUUUAAAGUAACCAUCUUUCUAUAGUAUAAUACGGAACUUUAGGAACUCGAUUAUGUGUCAAAGCCAUUCUGUAGUAUGAAAUUUGUACAUUUGGCGUGAAAAUGGAUAUACUUUGCAAUUUUGAAAGACAUCACUAACUGAUCAAUCAGCAAAUCCUUCAGAUGAUGGCGGGAGAUAUUGGCGGUCGAUUUGUAAGGAUGCGGGGGCAUGUGAGGUCAGAUCGCUCUGUCCGUGGCCUGAAAUGACCGCUUAACGGAUCAAUAAUGUCAUACUCUGGUGGUCAAGCUUAACAGGUGAGACUAUUAUUUAAUCAACUGUAUUGUAAAGAAAUGAUUUAUGUAGAAAGAUAAAAAGAUCACCAUCUGUACGCGUCUGUUACAUUGAGCCUGGUAUUCUGUACGAUCCUUCAGUUAAAAACCCACUUUGCAUAAAAAAAUAUUAGAUCCAGGUAGAAAUAUCCUGAUUGUAAUAUUGUUGAAUUCAUUUUGUUAAAGUUAAAUUCCAAAAGUGGUGACAUCACUUUGCUUGCAACACAUCUGUAACACACGAGUUUUAAGAAAGUGCGAAAGAAAAUAAUCCACAUUAAAUGUUCAAAGAAACAGUUCCCUUGCAAUUUUUUUUGAUAUAUAUCAUCUAAUCCCUUAAAUUUUUCUAGAAAUAUCACAUUUCCGAAGUGUAAAACCACUUACAUUCAUAUUGUGUGUACAUUCAACUUAAUAAUGUCCGAUUGUUACAAAUGAAAAUCGUUUUCUGUUUACAAAACGUCAAAUGAUACCAACUGCACAAUGAUUACGUAACGCAACCUGCACACUUUUAUAAACUUUAUUGCGCAAUAUUCCUGCGGAAAGUGCAGCUUGUUGUAGUAGUGUGUUCAUGAUAUGAGGUCAUUUAACUCGGUGAACCGACCUGCCGACGUAAUAUGCAAUCCACUGCGCAUAACAAAUGCAUUGCAUAUUGAUACUGCAUGUAGAUUCACCAAAAGGUUUUUAUUUGUGAAGCGUUUUUGUCUGGUCACAAAAACUGGGAAUUUUGGACAUAUAAUCCCACAUUUGAUUAUAUGUUUUAGCCUAAACAUAAAUGGAAUUGAUUUUCUUUUCUACUUUUGGAAACACGUUUUUGUCAAGUCAGUGAUCAGUGAAGUGUAACACAAAAUCAAGGUGUAUUUUUUUUAAUUAAUAAGUAGAUAAGUUGGGACAAGGUUAAGUGUUUGAAUGAAAUCAAUAAAUCAGUGAAUACAGACAAAGUCAUGAGUGUGUAUGUCUAGAUUUAAACAGGUAGAACAUUUGCAUUCAGAUGAAUUCAAAAAUAGUUGUGUCAGUAUGGGGCUCUAUAGGGGACAAAUAGGAUGCUGUAUUUAUGCAUACUUGAUCAAUGACCACAUACCAUCUUGAAAAAGUAUUUGUUUAUUUAGAACUAGAAAGAAUUUUCCAGAAUCUUUCUUUUCAUGAAAAAAUACCUAUUUUUUAUCAAAAAAUAAAUAAAACAUUCUAUAACAAUUCAUUACAUUGAAUGUUAUUUUAAAAGGGGGCAAUUAUUUUCACAUGUUUUAAUAUAUAUGGUAUACUUUCAAAAUAAGUUUACAUGAUUUGAUAUUCAUUAUAUAUAUAUAUAUAUAUAUAUAUAUAUAUAUACAUUCAAUGAAGGAUUUCUAGAAGAUUCUGAAACAUAUAAUUUUCACAACCAACAGAAAAUGUUCAGUGUUCAGUGUUUUGUUUUUACUUAAUUAAAGGUAUUAUUAAAAGGUAUUAAUUUUGAAUCAGUAAUAGCUUGUUCAAUUUUUUCAACCAGCAGUGCUGAUAGUUUUGUUUAAUGACAUGAAUAUUGAACUGAAAAGACUCCAUAUAGUGAAUGUCAUACUUCUGGAACUUUGUUAUUACCUGAAGUGUUUAUAUUAUUAAAGAUCAUUCUUUUGUUUAUAUGGAGUAUGAUUUGAGAGUUUUCUGUGUGUGUGUGUGUGUGUGGAAAAAAGGGGGGUAUUCUGGCUCCUAUGAAUAUGUUUCUGGUGAUAGAUUUAUAGGAAUUUCUGUACAGGUGAUUUUCAGUAAACUACCUCUGAUUAAUGCUACACCUAUAUACACAUUUUAAAUUGAUAAGAACAAUUAACCUGGUUCUUGCUUUCCUAUACCUGCCUGUAAUUUCCAUGCCUUUCCCAAAACAUUUUAUUGACAAUUUCAGUCAAACAGUGAACAUUCCAGACAUUUUUGGUUAAGCAGCUCCUUUCCUUGUAUACUUGUGUAAAAUAUUAAAAAAAAAUAAAAAAAUGUUUACCUACCUAUUCUAUUUUUUUCCAUCAAGAAGACUGGAAAAAGGUAUAUAUAUAUAUAUAUAUAUAUAUAUAUAUAUAUAUAUAUAAUAUGGUAUAUAUAUAUAUAUAUAUAUACAACUUAUGUGUUAUGUAUGAUAUGUUGAACCUUAUAGGGUUUAUAGGAAAGUGAACCGAAGUUUAAAUAUUGAAUUCUUAAUACCAAAAUUGAAACACAUUGAAUUAUUAAUACACAUUGACCUAUCAAUAACAUUAGCAAUUUGACUUUUUGCUAUCAAAUCUAAACAAGCAUUGACAGGUGACUGCUAUGGACAUGUUUAUGUCUAUUUUUCAGGCCUAGGGACAUGUUUAAUUUAUAUCUUUUUUGUUUUUCUUUGGGAAUGUUUAGUUUGUCUUGCUUGAUUCUCCUUGGGACAUGUUUUGUUUAUGUCUUGCUUGUUUUUCUUUGGGACAUGUUUAGUUUGUCUUGCUUGUUUGUCUGUGGGACAUGUUCAGUUUAUGUAUCUUGUUUGUCCCUAGGAAAUGUUUAGUUCAUGUCUUUUUUGUGAUGUUUAGUUUAUGUCUUGUUUGUUUGUCCUUGAGACAUGUUCUUAUGUCUUGUUGGUUUAUCUUUGGGACAUGUUUAGUUUAUGUCUUGUUUGUUUGUCUUUGGGACAUGUUUUAUUUUUAUUUUGUUUCUUUGUCUUUUGGACAUGUUGAGUUUAUGGAUUGUUUGUUUGUCUUUGAGACAUGUUUAGUUUAUAUCUGUUUGUUUGUCAUUGGGACAUAUUUAUAUAAUAUAAACAAUAAACAUGUUCCAAGGACAAACAAACAGACACAAACAUGUCCUAAGGACAUACAAAUAAACAUAAACAUGUCCCAGAGACAAACAAACAGACAUAAACAUGUCCUAAGGACAUACACAUAAACAUAAACAUGUUCCAAGGACAAACACAUAGACACAAACAUGUCCUAGGCUAAGGACAUACAAAUAAACAAACAUGUCCUAGAAACAAACAAAUAGACACAAACAUGUCCUAAGGACAUACACAUAAACAUAAACAUGUCCCAGAGACAAACAAACAGACACAAACAUGUCCUAAGGACAUACAAAUAAACAAACAUGUCCUAGAGACAAACAAAUAGACACAAACAUGUUCCAAGGACAAACACAUAGACACAAACAUGUCCUAAGGACAUACAAAUAAACAUAAACAUGUCCCAGAGACAAACAAACAGACACAAACAUGUCCUAAGGACGUACACAUAAACAUAAACAUGUCCCAGAGACAAACAAACAGACACAAACAUGUCCUAAGGACAUACAAAUAAACAUAAACAUGUCCCAGAGACGUCCCAGAGACAUGUAAAAAUCGAUUUUAAAUAUACAAAACUUGUAGAAUUUUAACCCCCCACCCCCAAACAAUUUGAUUUAAGUUUUUUAUCCUACUUCGAUCUUUUGAUGUCUUCCCUAAGCAGGGGUUGAAACUUGACAACUUUAGAGUUGACACUCUGCUAGUGAUAACUGAAGAUAAACCUUGUUCAAAGCCCCUCCCCCCUUUGACAUGUUUAAAAUAUUGCAUAGCUGUUCAAAACAAGCAGCUAACAUCGCGUGUAGAUAGAAGAGAUAAUAACAGGUUAUGAUUAUGAUUCUGAUGCACAAGGAAAUUGGAUUUUUUUUCUUGAUUAGCUGGCCUCUUUAUGAUCCAUCUUUAAACUGGUUAAGAGUUAAAAAGAGAAAAGGAUCAAUGAGUAGCAUGUUGAAAACUAUUAUAGAAAAGAUUUAAAUGUUGAUUUAAGUCUUUUAUAGCUUAUCCUUAUACGUUAUACUCCUUUUUGAAGGCCAUAUAGUAAUAAAUUAGCUUACAUUAUUUUGUAAAUGUACAUGUAGAUAAAUCAAAAAGCAGUUUUUUGUAUACUGUAGAUUUAUUAUUAUUUUUUGGCAUCACCAGUCAUUGGUCUUGUGAUAGGGUGUUGUGGAAGAGAAAGUUGAUACAUAUGUACAUAGGUCAGUCUUACAAUUUGUAUUAAGUUCUACUUCUCUAAGCACACAACAUUUAGGCAUAGCAAAAACAUGUGACUUUUUACUUGGAAACAACCCUAAUAAUUAAAAGCAUGGCUUAGUCUGGCAGUCUGGUAGGCUUGAAUCUUAGUAUAAUGAUAUCACUUGUCUGAAUGUCCUCAUCUUCAUGCACUGGUAAUAUUUGACACUGGACAUAAAGCAAUCAAUCUCCCUCUCUAUAUCUAUGUUGACUAUAAAUACACCUAAUGUAAGUUAAGUUUGGGUUGAUAAGGCCAUUGAAAUAAAUGUAAUAAUAAAAAAAUAUAUCUCUUCAUUAUUUAAGGCCAAUUAAAAUUAAUUGAUAGAUUUUCAUCCCCGCCUGCCCCUCUGAAUCGCCCUGCCCCGAUUUUUUUUAUUUUAAAAAAAAUAUGAUUUCCGGAUUUUGUUCAAGUCCGUUACCGGGAACCAUUGAUAAGUUUGUUUCAUUCAAAACUUCCUGUUUCAAAUUUCGUAUUUUUAUUUCUUCGAGUAAUCUAACGAAAAUGAUUAAGUCAACAUAUUCUGCUGCACUAUGAUGACAGCAUCAUCUACCGAGAAUAGAGAUUGAUUACAAGAAGGGCAAGAAAUAUUCGAGUUACAAUAAAAUGUUUUGUCCAUGAAAGCAAAUUGCGGUAGUCACAAGUGAUUCAAAAAACAUGUUUUUCUUUUAUUUAUACAAUGACUUUGUGUUAGGAAAUUUGGACUGUGAAUGAUAUCCAAAGUGCAAGAAUUGUAGAACAAAUUGGUUAAAAAAACAUGACUGGAUUAAAGAAAUUGACACAAGCACGAACUUGUUAGAUUUAUGACCAUAUAUUGAGCAAAAAAAAAAGUCGACAAACACGCAUUUUAAUAACAAGCCUUUAGAUUUACCCAUGGCUGUCGUUUUUUGUUGACAAACAGCAAACACCUUCUGUGACUGUCCCAAUACCCUCAAUUUAGUCAUUAAACAACAACUUCUAUUUGAUUAAGUUCAUGUUUUACAUCAUAAUUACUUUCAACACUGAGUUAACAUUUUAUUCUGUACUCAUAAUACUUGUGUUGCAUACCAUUGUACCAAUACAUUUUAUGGGGACUACAAACCAUUGCUUAGAAAGCAAAAUAAAUUUGUCCAACUGAAGAGAGCAUUUCUCUUCUUUUUGAUGUAUACCAUGAAUAGGUUUCUAAAGUGGCAAUUACAUGUAUAACAGUGGUUGCCAAUCAGAGAUUUUUAUUUAAGAGUUUGAAAAAUUAUGUAUGAUUCCUUAUACGGCAUGUAUUUACAUAAUAUAAGCUUGUUUUUCACCUGCUUAUACCCCGCGGUAUGAAGAACUUGUGACGAUGGUUUCAUAUGAAAUAAAAUUUAAAAAAUAAAAUCCUCCCACCCUCCCCAUUUUUUUUCAAAAAUGUGGAUGAAAAUCUACUUAUUAUUUUUAGUUGGCCUAAGUAUAGACAUUAUUUAUUUGCAUAAACACAAAUUGUAUGAUACACAAGUCAAACAGACUUAAUCAGUCUUGUCCAUACAAUUAUAUAAGUGUCAAUGGAAUUCCCAAGCUUCCAUAUCUAUUUUUGUUGGCUUGAAAUUGCUUACUUUAAAGUUUUUAAUGACACUUUGGUAAUGAAUAAUAACAAAAUUGCAGGUCUCAACAUUUACUAAGGGUAAAAAAUUAAGGAAAAAAGAAAUCUUGCCUAUCUACAAUAGUUUUCAUAGUCAGAAACGCAAAACCCACUUAUAUUUUUUUUUGCCUGUGUGAACAUUUUGUUAUUGACUAGUCAAUUUUUAAACUUAUUCACACACUUAAGGUUUUCCUAAAAUCCAUUCAUCUACCUGAAUACACUAGUUCUAUGACUAUACAAACAAGUUUUUAAAACCCUUAACUGCAGUGUUUUAUACUAAACUACAGGACAUACAUUCAGUGUUUAAUUCUGCAAAUUCAAUUGCCAGAGAUUAAAAAAAAUAAUUUUAGGGCCACUUUGACCCAAAAUCUUGCAUGUACAUGUAUAUUUUCCUUCCAUGUUGAUCUUCAUUUUUGUCAAACCCAAUCAAGACAACUUGAUAAAUGUGCUGUCUGUUUUGUUCGCCAUUGUAUGAUAUGUUUAUCUAAUAUAUUUGAAGUCUGACACCAGAUCAAUCUAAGAACUGCAGUUGUUCAAAAUUAGAUUUAUUGUAGAGUUUUGUCUAGAAGUCUAUUUCUGCUAGUACCACAGCAUGUCCUUUAAAUAUUGUCCAUUACAGCAGCAAACCUGACCAGACUCCUGAAGUCAAACUUACACCACAAAAAUUCAUAGAAAUCUAUAAAAAAAAUAAAAUAAAUAUUUGGAAAAUAGUUCCAAGACAGCAGCCCUUCAACUUUAAAACAGUAACAAAUUAAAAGAGGUAUGGUCAGAUCAUCUGUUUUCCUAUGUCAUAUGAAUUUGUACUAUGCAUGCUUUUCGAUGCAUUCUUAAUAGUACCAAAACCCAUGAGACAAGGAUAGAUGUUAAGUAUUUAUCUAAGGACAGGUACUUACAGUACAUUGUUUUCAGUGGUAGACAAACUGUGAGUGGGAGAUACACACCGAUGGCUCUUUUGGGAUCCAAUACAUGCAAAAGAAUCAUUUCAACAUGGACAAGAUUAUAUUACCAUGUAUAAAUGGUUGCAGUGCACAUAUAUAGGUUACUGCCUUUAAUUGUAUGUAUAUAUAGAAUUGUAACUUUUAGAAUGGGGUUGAUUGAUUACAUGUAGCUUAGUUUAUAUUUAGAAUUGUCUUUAUUUUCAAUAAACUCUCUCAUUUUGUAGCUUUAUUUUUCCUCAUGUUGAAGAUUUAUUUCUCAGCUGUUGUCACUCUUAUUGACAUUUUUUUUUAAAGAAAGAUUUCAAUAAGGUAUAUAACAUUAAAACAAUCCAUCAAUGUACUGACUGGGUAACAAUGACAUCUUCUUAUUACUCUUUAGAUACAUGUGUACUCCCAACAUUUUAUCUAGGAUUCAGUCUAUUUUAAAGACAGUUCAAAAUACAAGAUUGCUUUUUAGAGAAAUAUGUUCAUCCCUGGACUUCUGUCCAGCUAUAAAGUUGUCUCCCUUUUGACUGUGCCAGCUUCAUAGAUACUCAGCCAUGUCAGAAUGGUGUGUGUGUGUGUGGGGGGGGGGGGGCAAGGAGGCAGGUGCUUAACAACCUAAUGUCAUGUGAAGGGAGAGUGCCACCCUCUUUGUAUUUUUAAUACCCAUUACAACUUCUCUCCAAGGGUCCUUUAAUACAUAUAGGUGGCUUGUUGCAAUGCAAAAUUUUAGUUUUCAAAUGCAGUUCCUGUUCAAACUUUCAAUGCAAUCUUUUAGGAAUUGGGAACUCAUAUGUCAAGGAUUAAUACAAAAUCUUCUAACUUUAGUGUGAUGCAUUUAUAAACUAUUAGGAAUUAAUCAAGUAAUUAUCAAAGUCAUUCAAUACAAUAAUAUUCAGUGACAGUGUCAGUCAGUAAUAGUAGAUGUACUUGUAGAUCUAUAUAGUAACUAUGCAUACUGUAUUGUUUAUUAUAUUUGUAAAAGAAUAAUAUUACAAUGGUAUUAUAUUAUGCUCCUUGUGAGCCCAUUUUAUGGAAAUAAAGCAUCUUCUUCUUCAUCUUCUUCUUAUAGUAACAGUUGGACCAUGUACAACUCUUUAAUAUUGAAGUCAUUCACUCGACAGUAUAACUGAUAAUAUUACUAGCAAAUUAUUAAAAUUAAAGCUAGCACAUUGAACCAGUUCUUGUACUUUUGAUUCCUACACACUUUUUUGGUUUCUAGUUAAGAUAUUUUACAUCAAGACAAUCACUUGAAAGACAAUAUGAAGUAUUAACAUUUGAUGUCAGCUUUUUGAAACAAAUGGAAAAAAAAUGAGACUGUAUUUAGUGCCUAUAGCAGUUUGAAGACCUGAAAUCUCAUUAGAACAUGUCUAUAGAGUAGCAAGCUAUAAUUGUGACUGUCAUUACCAGACAUCUGCAGGUGAUGCAGUCUUAUAGACAAGUACCAAUUAAACUUCUUACAAUCCAUCACUAUUCAUAGCUUUGUCACAUUUUCUGCACUACUGAACUAAGCAGUAAUUGGACAGAUCUUGCAUCAAAGGAUUACAUUGUUCAUUAUUUGAUCGUUGUGAAAGUUACUUGAGUGUUUAUGCAAACAUUGGCAAAGAUGAUCAUAUGCUUUUUUGAUGUCCUAUGCCAUUAGUCUGAUUAAAGAUUAUCUGUACCUUUUCAACCAUACAAUAGGAUAUUCAUUGUCCUGUGAAUUAAUUUCUUUGUAUUAUGUAAAUUUACAGUGUUAUAGGGAACAAAGAAUUUUCAUAUUGAAUUUCUAAUCAAAAAGUAGAAAUUCGGAAAGUAAUGUAUAAAUAAAGAAACUUAACCCCUGUGAGGAGACCCAAGGGUAUAGAAAUUGGCUUAUGGUGCAUGUUACUGUUAUGAAUAGUAGGAGAGUUCCAGUCUGAACACAAAAAGACCCCUUAAGCCACAGGGCUGAUUGGAGUUUAUACCUACAGGCUUUCUAGAUAUCAUAUCUUAAAAAUACUUGAAAGGUUGGAUAGAUAGGUGAGUGUUGUGUUUUUCUUGCUGUUAGAUGCUGAUGCAGUCGUUUAUAAAGGAUGCUACAAUUAUGGAAUGAAGAGAUAGAUCUUUUGUCUUUGCCAAUGUCAAAAAGAUGUUACAGUGAUGGGAUGCAGAGAUCUUGUGUAUACCAUUAUGUUGAAAAUAAUGUUGUAAAGACUGGAGCAGAUACAGGUCUUGUGGUUACCCUGAUGCCAAAAGGCUGUUGCAGGUGAAUCUUUUGGUCUUAGACUACCCUGAUGUAAAAAAUAAUGUUGCAAAGAUUGUGAGGAGAGAUUGAUCUUGUGACUACCCUGAUGUCAACAGAAUAUUGAAAAGAUUGGAAGGAGAAAUUGGUUUUGUGGCUACCCUAAUGUUAAAAGAUAUUGCAAAAGUUGAAAGGAUAGAUUAAUCUUGUUGCUACCCUGAUGCCAAACAGAUUUUGCUAAGAUUUGAAGGAGAAAAGGAUUUUGGGUACCCUGAUGUCAAAAGGAUGCUGCAAAGAUUUAUAAUAAAGGAUAAAUGGAUCUUGUGGCCACCCUGAUGUUAAAAGGAUGUUGACAAGAUUUGAUUUAGAGAGAUGGACCUUGUGGCUUCCCUGAUGCAAAAUGAAUGUUGCAAAGCCAAAGGUCGAAAAGAGGAAUGGAUAUUUUGGACACAUGCUGACAUUAAAAAGGCUCUUACAAAGAUUGGAAGGAGAAAAAGGUAAUCAUAAAGCUAUUCUGAUGUUGCAAAGAUAAGAAGGAGAGUCGGAUGAUUUGUCUACCCUAAUGUUGAAAAGAUGUUGAAAAUAUUGUAGGGAGCGAUGGAUCUUGAGGCUACUCUUGUCAGUUGACAAAAGUAAAGGCAACAGUAGUAUACCAGUGUUCAAAAGGAUGAAUGUUUGGAAGGCACAAUGGAUCUUGUGGCUUCUCUUAUAUCAAAGAGAUGUUGCAAAGUUUAGAAGGAGCAAUUGAUAUUUGGCUACCCUGAUGUCAAAAGGUUGUUGCAAAGAUUUGAAAUGUAGAUAGAUAAUUUGUCUACUCUGUUGCCAAAAGGAUGUUGCCAUGCUUGGAAGGAGAGUCAGAUGCUGUGUCUACCCUGAUGUCAAAAGUAUGUUGAAUAGAUUUGAAAAAGAGAUGAAUCUUGUGGCUAUCCUGAUCAUAAUUUCACAGUAGUUUUUAAAAGAGGGCAUUGUUGAUGUAGAGUUAUAUUGAUCACAUGAGAGAGAGAGAGAGAGAGAGAGAGAGAGAGAGAGAGAGAGAAAGUAGUUGAUCUAGGUCUUAUAUUGAUAACUUAUCUCUUGUAUAUUAUGAUUCAGUAGUGGAUAGACAUCAAUGGCUUAUGAGAAUGCUUUGAUUAGUUAGGGGAAUAUAAUAAUCUGUAACAAUUUAUGACAUGCCUGAAGAGCUAUUAUGUUGAUGAUUAUUUUUAUGUAAAAAAAUCUGUUAUAAAAUCAGUUAUGACUGUAGUAUUGCAUAUUCAGAGUGUAAAAGUUAAAGCUAUUGUGUAAGAUAAUAUUUUUCUCAAUUCAUGUCAUAAUUUAAGAAAACACAUAAAAAUAUAUUAAAGACACUAUAUGCAAUGAUUGACAAUUUUGGGUAUGCUUUUCAAAGUGAAGGUCAUCUGGACCUUGGGGUGAAUAUUUUUUUAGCCAGGGCAAUCAUAUGAAUUUCUUGUCUUCUUUUUAUAAAGUUGAUAAAUACACUACAGAAAACUGACAUCUGUAUAGAGAAUAGGUUCACCAGCCUACUUGGAUUGUGGUUUUCUUCUUCUAAAUGAAAAAUGUAAACAAAAGAAAACACAAAUCAGCAAUGAAAAUAAAUGAUUUUAACAGGUUGAUGUUUUCUCUUUGUUUAGUACCUCACCACAUAAUUACAUAAAACAGAGAUAACACAUAUAAUUUGAUGGAGUUAACCUACUGCGUUAUAACUUUGGAUCGCAAACCACAGUGAUAGACUAAACACAUUUAUCUCAAGUGCACACUACAUAGACACAAGUCUAGCCAUACACAUUUUCCAUUCAUUGUUUCGGAAAUGUAUGUAUUAAGGGUAAACAUUUUAUAAAUGUACUUGUACUGUACAUGUUCAUCAGAAUUCUGCGUGAUCAGUAGAUAUCCAAUUAAAAAACUCUUUUGUAGAUUUUUUCAUUUAAUUUUUUUUUCAUACUCCUAAAUAAAUGCCUAAAGUUCAUGUUAUGAUGAUCCUUUUGUGUGCUGCCUAGCCUCAUUUUUAUGUUGACAUACAAUGGAAUAUCCCUCAAUACUUCUGAUUAUGAAAUGGUGAAUCAAUACAACACUAGGACCCCUCCUUCAGAUGCAGAUAUAGCAUUUUGAAAAGGGGGCUCACAAACAAGGCACCGCUUGGAGGGGGACUGUAACCUUGUAUGUAUCUCCAUAAAGUGAGGCCUGGUUUAACCUGUAGAAUCCAUAGGCGGAUCCAGGGGGGCCUGGGGGCCUGGGCCCCCCCUUUUGUGGGAAAAAUUUGGUUGAUUAUAUAGGGAAUCACUGAUGCAUGACUGGAGUGGGCCCCCCUUAGGAAAAGUUCUGGAUCUGCCACUGGAAUCCUACCCAUACCUAAGCAUCAUGCAUGUUCAGUUGAUUUGUUCACCUUUUAACUUCAGUCAUAGUGUAAAAGUCAGCAUGACUCUUUAGUCCUUAAUGUCAUAAAAAAGUCGCUAGAGAAAAUGAAUGUUUAUGUUGGAAAAAUGACAAACAAUUCCUGGACAGAAAUUAAUGCUUCAAUAGGGCAUUCAAAGUAACAAUAAAUAAAUAUAAGAUAUUGUACAGUAAUUCAGUGGACAGCAUUUUAUGUCUAGAUAAUGCUCACUGUUGUGUGGCAAAACAUGACAUGUCUUUAGGUUUAAAUUCAAUUAUCAAAUAAUUUACAAAAGUAAUAUCAAAAAUGUCCAGAACAAAAUAGAGGAAACUUGGUCCCUCUUUUUUUCUAUGUGGCAACCAAAGUCCCAAAUAUCAGCAACAGUUGCAAUAGUAUACAGUACAUGUACAUGAAAUAUAGCUUUCAUUGAGGAACAUUUUAAAAAUGUGUUGUGACCACUGCAAGAAGGGAAAUCAAGUUUUAAACUAGUAAUCAUGAAUUUUGCAAAGGACUGGGUGUCAAUAUCUCAUCAUUGGUAUCUUUAGAUCAAACCUAUAAAACUUAAAAACACCUGGAGUCUUAUUAUAAAGACAGAUGUUAUUAAAAAGAUAAUUGCAUAAAAUUAUGUAUAAAAUCAAUGAUAAACCUUCUUCGCAUGUACUUCAGCCUGGCAAAUGUACUUCAGAAGCAAACCACAAAAAUGUAUGGGUACCAGAGGUAUAGUAAUGUGUUCAACAGAUUAUCUUUUGUGGUUAAAAAGAUUAAAAAGGAAAAAUAUACUGUUAUUUACCAUUAUACAUUUAUCAAAGACAGUUUUAUUGAAAUAUCAUUAUUUUUGUCAAAGUGGUUAAGAAUUUUGCCAUUAAAACAUAUGUGUUGGUUUGUAUGAUGUCUGUGUUAAGAGAAUCUAAGGUCAUUUACCUGUGUGAGGACACAAAGGUCACUGACAUGUGUUUAAUGGUUUCUAAGGUCAAAGUGACAAACAGAUGGACAUUGGAUAUGAUUAAUGUGGUCAGUCAAGGACAUCUUAACCAUUAUGACCAGCUGUGUUUAGUCUGGUAUUUCCAGGUCAUGUUAACACAACUGGUCAUCUAAGGACACUUCCUUCACAAUAAAGGAGAUGAAAUCUAAUGAUUUACAGCUUAUAUUGAAUAACUGACUAGUCAAGGACUUGUUACAUAUUAUAAUUCUUAAUACUUAAUGACAAGAAAUAAGAUCAAAUCUAAUGACUUAAAGAUUGUAGAAUAGUUGACUUGUCAAGGACAUUUUAAUGGUACAUGUUAUAAUUCUGUAUGUACUACAAAAGUCUACAUUAAAACCAUGACUAAUACACAUUAUGUGUGUUUUGUGACAUGUGUUAGUUACAAAUUUUUGAGCAAGGCUGUGGCUGAAUAGAAUUUUAAAUAAUGUAUUGAUCACUGUAUCCUACUAGAGUGCACACCUGGCUUUUUGGUUAUGUUAUUUAAAUUUUCAAUUGGAUGUUUUUUAAGUUAACUUUAUGGUACCCGGUUUUUAAAGGUAUUUGAAAGCUAUGCACCAUUAACUUAGAGUAGUGUGACCCAGACAGUGUGACCUUCAAAUCAAGGCUGGUGUUUCCCUCUAAAAGAUAAGAGAGAAGUUUUACCUAUGACAUAUAUUGAUAAAGUUUGCACAAGUCUGGCAUAAUAAGUGUGUGUCUAGGUUUGGUGUAUUUUUGGAAACCUUAUGGCAUGUAUAUAAUUUCUGCAGCUGUUACAAUAACCAUUAGUUUUAUAUUGUGAGGUAGAAUAUUUAAAAUCAAAUAAUGUGUGGGAGAAAAAGAAAUAAGAAAUGAAUUUUUCAAUAAGACCAGGUGUACAGAUUUAUAUUAUCUUCUUUUGAAUGAACAUCUUAAAGAAAUCCUUUGUUUCUUUUUUUUUUUAAAUUCACAAUUACAAGCAUAAAUUUUAUAUUUGAAUGAAACUUGAGAUAGCAAUGAUGUCAACAGUAAUUUUUUUAUGCAGUAAAAUUAAAUUUGUUGUACUCUUACAUUCAUAUAUUAAACUAGGCAGACAAUUCCAAAGAGAGAAUUAAAACUCAUAAGUUGAAUGGAGUCUGAUCAUGGCAAAAAAGUUCAGGAAAAAAACAUAAUAGGUAAAAAAGGGGGAGUUUUCUCGUUAGUUUGAAAGAUAUGGAAAUUUGACCAUUUCCUCUUGAUACCUGAUUUCAGAUUUGAAAAAAAAUCUAUUGAAAUACACCAGUUGAUAUGUUGAAAAUUGAUUGCAUAGGAAAUUUACUGUAUUAAAUAUACUUCAAAAUGUGGAAAAAAAGACAAGAAAAAAAAAAAUCUGAAAAAUCCUGAUAUUAUGAUGAAAGACCCAUUAUAGCAUUUAAUAAUGUGAUUAAAUUCUGAUGUAUAAUUUCACUUUCUAUCAUGGUAUUAUUUAGGAAAUAAGUUUUUUUGUAAAGUGGAAGUUAAUUUUGUACUUGGGAUGAUAAUUUACAGUACUUGUGUCAAUUUGAUAAAUUACAGCAGCUUAAUUUGUAAUGCUUUAGAUAAUGAACUGGAUGUCUUUAAUAUAAAUUAGUUCUAGGAAUUUGACAUAAAUCUAGUUAUUCAGGAUUUUUUUAAAAGAGAAAAUAAAUUUUUAAAUUUGUACCACCAGUGAUUUAGAACAAAUUUGCAGUCUGAUAUUAAAUCAAUUGUCUGCAAUUUGUAGAGCAGAGGAAAAAAAGGAUAUGAAAUAUAGUUCUGCAAGACCCAUUGGGGAAAGAAAUCAGUCAUUUUGUGUACAAAUCAUAUCUGAAAAUUUGUCAGGUUUUCUUUCACAUAUACUCCAUAAGAAAUUGUUCAGGUUGACAGCCCUCAUUUUAAGUAGUUUAAUAUGCAUAUAACCAGAGAAAAUCUUUUUUGAGUUGACCUUUUUAAUAUUUUGCAAUGAAAGUUGUGUGUCAAGAAACAGAUUUGAUUUAGAAAAACUUAAAAAAAAAAGAAAAGAAAAACUUCAAUUAAAAAAAAAUUGUAUCAACUAACCGAAAUCUGUUUCUUUAGCUUUAAAAAUAAUCCGUUGAGGUCAGCAAAAAAUAAAAAAGUUUUUAUUUUUUUAUUUUCAGAAAAGAAGCUUGUUAACCUUGCUAAUGCAUUCUGUACAGAUAAAAGACAAGUCGAGGCAGUUAAGGAAAUGAAUUUCACACAAUUUGGUUUGAAUUACAUUUGUACACAUCUUUCCCUCAUUAAUCUCUGUGUUGGCAUUGAUAAAGAAU
rnacentral:lncRNA from 1 species